UAGUCUCGUGUGGUGGGACUUUGGUAAGUUCCGGCUUGGUAGAGACCAGAAAAUCAUUUCUCACUUAAGUGGUUCUGCAAGACUUAAAGAGAAUGCUCUAAUGGCCAGAUUACUUGUGGCCAUAGCAAAGCGGGAAUGAGAAAAGAGCACAACCGUUGUGCUUUGUCCGUUAGUAACUUCCUCCGGCUAAUAAAUAAUUGAUUGUUCGGAUUAAAAGAUAAGAUUUGGUUAGUGGCUUUAAGUUCUACCUGAUUAGAAACAUCUCAGCUCAAGUGACGUUUAUGUCCAAAUGAGUAAUUAUUUCAUUAGUGGCUAGCUUUGGAGCGUGACAUUUAUGUCCAAAAGUUUAUCUUCAGUAUGUGUCUGAACUCCCAGAUAAUCUACAUGAUCAGUCUAUCUUUGUUUUUUUUUUUUUCUCUUUUUUUGAAAGCGUCGUGGAUGAUUGCUUUACUUUGUUUACUCAGUUUGGUCAGCAGUUCUGUUAAGUUAAUGUUUAGAUAGCAUGGUUUAAAUGGUAUUGUACCAUCUUUAUUUUUUUAAGAAUCUGUAUUAUAUCUUGAGUAGGUAAUUUUCUACAAUAUCAUGAGGUUGUCUACUCAGUAAUGGCCAUAAUCGAAGGUGGAGACAUGUAAAAUUUAUAUUAAAUUGCUUUAGUGUUGUUUCUACCAUAAAUCUUUCUAUUUUGCUAUCUAAUGAAUUUGACGCAGUCAUUGAACAAGGAUUUUAUGGAGAGUCAACGGCCAAUUUAAAGGUUUUCAUCAGACAAAUCUAACAUGAUUCACUUACGACUUAUUGCCUCCAUUGUUACUACAUGUUUGUCCCAGUCAUUUUUGAAUUUUUUUUUUAUGACAGGUUUGAUAUUAUGCAGAGAGAUAUUUAUGCUUCUAUCCUUUAUCACCAUUACUAUUAAGAGGCAUGUAAGUACAGGAGCAGGCUGGAUAUGCGACUUAUGCUAUUGGAUCUAUGUGACUUAUAUCCACACCACAUUUGGUGCGGCAUUGUUUCCUGUAUAAGAAUGCAUACAUUUAUAAUAGUACCAUUUGAAUGAUAGAUUUGACGUGUGUUUAGCGGCGCAUAUUUUAAGUGCAUUCAUUUGUUCCAAGUGAGCUAAGAUUUUAAACGGUACCAAUUUGAAGGACUUAAUGUUAUUUUCUCUUAUC